rnacentral:rRNA from 1 species
GACGAACGCUGGCGGCGUGCUUAACACAUGCAAGUCGAACGGAAAGGCCCUGCUUAUGUGGGGUGCUCGAGUGGCGAACGGGUGAGUAACACGUGAGUAACCUGCCCUUGACUUUGGGAUAACUUCAGGAAACUGGGGCUAAUACCGGAUAGGAGCUCCUGCUGCAUGGUGGGGGUUGGAAAGUUUCGGCGGUUGGGGAUGGACUCGCGGCUUAUCAGCUUGUUGGUGGGGUAGUGGCUGACCAAGGCUUUGACGGGUAGCCUGCCUGAGAGGGUGACCGGCCACAUUGGGACUGAGAUACGGCCCAGACUCCUCCGGGAGGCAGCGGUGGGGAAUAUUGCACAAUGGGCGGAAGCCUGAUGCAGCGACGCCGCGUGCGGGAUGACGGCCUUCGGGUUGUAAACCGCUUUCGCCUGUGACGAAGCGUGAGUGACGGUAAUGGGUAAAGAAGCACCGGCUAACUACGUG